GAUGAACGCUGGCGGCGUGCCUAAUACAUGCAAGUCGAGCGAACAGGUGAUGAUCUUGCUGCUCUCACGUUAGCGGAAGACGGGUGUAUAACACGUGGAUAACCUCCCUAUCAGUCUGGGAUCACUUCGGGAAAGCGGCGCUAACAGCGGAGGAUAUCUUGCACCACAGUGUUGAAUGGUAAGAGACGGUGUUGCUGGAUGUUCUAGAUGCAUCUGCGCUGCAUUAGAUGGUUGGGACGGUAAAGGCUUAUCAAGGCUAGGAGGCGUGACCGACCGAAGAGGGGGGUCGGCCACCCUGGAACGGAGACACGCACCAGAGUCCUACGGUACGCCGCAGUAGGGAAUCUGCCGCAAUGGGCGAAAACCUUACGGAGCGACGCGGCGUGAGUUAUGAAGGUCUUCGGAGCGUAAAGCUCUGUUAUGGGGGAAGAACAACUGUGUCAGGAACUAUGCCCGUCUUGACGGUAACUAGUCAGGAAGCCACGGCUAACUACGUG
rnacentral:rRNA from 1 species